AGAUUCUCCAGUCCUAGCAACAGAUAAACAAUGCAAGGAAGCAAAAGGAGCUGAGAAGCUGUUCGGAGACCUCGGCUGUUUCUGUUGGAAUAAUGUGGAAUCUAAUGUCGUACGACAAGCCGGUUUUAUCUGGCCUGCUUUAAAACAAGACGCUCGGAGCCAUACAGAAGAAAAAAUGCAAAUCUGUGCUAAUUGCUAAAGAGAAAAGGAGACGAGGGCCAGUUAAUCAAGAAAGCUGCUUAAAGCAAUGCCAAAAUAACUCCACACCUCCUGACCUGAACAAACUGAGCACGCCACUGUGCAUGUGGCUUUCCACAGAAACUCAGCUGGGCUUUAAGGAUUGCUCUUAAGCCUGACAUGUUUGGCAGCUAUACAGCUUAAAUGUGACAACACUCCUUUUAGAGAUCUGCUUCCAUUCAUAUACGGAGGGUGGUGCGGACGGACCAGUACAUCACUGGGGCCGAGCUCCCAAACAUCGAAGACAUCUAUGCCAGGCGGUGUCUGAGGAAGGCCCCAAAAAUUGGAGAAGGGAAGUCCCACAGGGAGACAUUUCUGAGUUGUCUGAAGAACGCUGCACAUCUCUGAUGUCUAUGGCUCUCUCCCGUGUCUGGGGAGCGCACAGAGCUCCAUGGAACGCCCGCUCCUCUGAGCUGGAAGGACGCCAGUCGUCCGGGGAUCCAAACCUUGGCCCAAGGCCCGGCAGCAGCCUUCCACAGCCCUCCCCUCGCUCUUUCGCAAAUCCAUGUGUGCCAGCAGGCUUUGCUGGUAUCUAAUCUAAACCGGGUUUUUGUUUGUCUGCUGAGCUGGUUGAUGAAGAGGAAGCAGUCGGGGAGGAGAUAGAAGGGCAGUACAACGCUGGUGUCAGUAAGAUACCAGUUAUGCCUAGACCCUCCGAGCCCCUACAGGGACUGUUGGCCAAUCAGACCAAAGGUUUUCAAUGGUCCGAUAAGAGCUACGAACAGUUAAACACCCUACAGGAUAUGGCUCUGCUGUAUUGUAAUGUCUUACUGCUGUAUCGUCACAUUUGAUGCUAAAAUGCCGUAAGGUAGGUAGCUACAGUAGCUUAAGCCUGUCAAGCAUUUCUCUGUGUUAUCCAUGCCACCCAGGUCAGACAGAUGAUUCUGGUUUCAUUAGAAUCUCCUGCUAAAUAGCAAACAAGCUGAGAGGGAGGUUUGUGGGUCGAGUGAGGGUCGGCUGACUAGCGACUUUAGAGAGGCUCUCAAACAUCCAAUUUUUUUCUGAAUAAAUGUAGCAGACAAGCAGAAAAUAAAUAGGUAAAAACUCUCACCCACUUAAGGCCCAUCGUCUUUUCUGUGAGGACACUGGAGGUAAGGGGAAGUUCAUGUCAAGUAAUGGUUCCUGCUGUAUAAUCAAAACACUCUCCAUAGUUCAUUGCCUUGCAGACGAUGUAUACCUGCUUCAGUGUGGUGCUGAGUAAGUCUGUUUUGGUGACGUAUUACCGCCACACCAGCACUCACCAGGCAUAAAGGCAGUCAAAUUCCACAUGACCGGUAAUUAGGCUUCUCCAAUUUCUGAUGCUGAUGAUGGUCAUUAGUAGCCUACCAAACUAGCUAACUGCCUGGCACUCUGCACUCUAUUGUCCCUCUAAUCACUCUGACAUCAAUUCAGAUGUAAUUGAAAAUCUAAUCAAACACUUC